AGUGAACGCUGGCGGUAGGCCUAACACAUGCAAGUCGAACGGCAGCACAGUAAGAGCUUGCUCUUACGGGUGGCGAGUGGCGGACGGGUGAGGAAUACAUCGGAAUCUACUUUUUCGUGGGGGAUAACGUAGGGAAACUUACGCUAAUACCGCAUACGACCUACGGGUGAAAGCAGGGGAUCUUCGGACCUUGCGCGACUGAAUGAGCCGAUGUCGGAUUAGCUAGUUGGCGGGGUAAAGGCCCACCAAGGCGACGAUCCGUAGCUGGUCUGAGAGGAUGAUCAGCCACACUGGAACUGAGACACGGUCCAGACUCCUACGGGAGGCAGCAGUAGGGAAUCUUGGGCAAUGGGCGAAAGCCUGAUCCAGCCAUACCGCGUGGGUGAAGAAGGCCUUCGGGUUGUAAAGCCCUUUUGUUAGGAAAGAAAAGCAGCAGGUUAAUACCCCGCUGUUCUGACGGUACCCAAAGAAUAAGCACCGGCUAACUUCGUG
rnacentral:rRNA from 1 species